rnacentral:rRNA from 1 species
GGAGUUAGCCGGUGCUUCUUCUGUGAGUGAUGUCCUUCCUGCCGGCUAUUAACCCGCAGGCCUUCUUCCUCACUGAAAGUGCUUUACAACCCGAAGGCCUUCUUCACACACGCGGCAUGGCUGGAUCAGGGUUGCCCCCAUUGUCCAAUAUUCCCCACUGCUGCCUCCCGUAGGAGUCUGGGCCGUGUCUCAGUCCCAGUGUGGCUGAUCAUCCUCUCAGACCAGCUACGUAUCGUCGCCUUGGUGAGCCGUUACCUCACCAACCAGCUAAUCCGACAUAGGCUCAUCCGAUAGCGCGAGGCCCGAAGGUCCCCCGCUUUCCCCCGUAGGGCGUAUGCGGUAUUAGCCUGGGUUUCCCCAGGUUAUCCCCCACUACCGGGCAGAUUCCUAUGCAUUACUCACCCGUCCGCCGCUCGCCACCAGGGAGCAAGCUCCCCGUGCUGCCGCUCGACUUGCAUGUGUUAGGCCUGCCGCCAGCGUUCAAUCUGAGCCAGGAUCAAACUCUGA